rnacentral:rRNA from 1 species
AUGAACGCUGGCGGCGUGCCUAAUACAUGCAAGUCGAGCGAACAGACGAGGAGCUUGCUCCUCUGACGUUAGCGGCGGACGGGUGAGUAACACGUGGAUAACCUACCUAUAAGACUGGGAUAACUUCGGGAAACCGGAGCUAAUACCGGAUAAUAUAUUGAACCGCAUGGUUCAAUAGUGAAAGACGGUUUUGCUGUCACUUAUAGAUGGAUCCGCGCCGCAUUAGCUGGUUGGUAAGGUAACGGCUUACCAAGGCAACGAUGCGUAGCCGACCUGAGAGGGUGAUCGGCCACACUGGAACUGAGACACGGUCCAGACUCCUACGGGAGGCAGCAGUAGGGAAUCUUCCGCAAUGGGCGAAAGCCUGACGGAGCAACGCCGCGUGAGUGAUGAAGGUCUUCGGAUCGUAAAACUCUGUUAUUAGGGAAGAACAAAUGUGUAAGUAACUAUGCACGUCUUGACGGUACCUAAUCAGAAAGCCACGGCUAACUACGUG